rnacentral:lncRNA from 1 species
AAAACCAAAACUAUGCCAGGUUUAAUAUAUAGAAUUGACUAGUUGAGAUUGCUUCAUCAGUGCAAAAUCAAAUUGUUUGCAAAAACUGGUUACAUUUAAACAAGAAAAAAAACUUAUUGGAAGAGCAUAAACCAAGCCAUGCAAAAGUGUAUAUGCUUUUGCAGAAAGUUAGUUUGGCUAUUUUUACAAGUAUAUCUUCAUAGGAAAAUUGCUUUCUGGAUGGUAGCUGAAAAUUUGUUUGUGAUUAAAAAUUAGAGACUCUACACUUGGACAAAAAGAACGAAAACCCGAAAACGAAAAAGCAAACAUAAAAUACUAUACUUUUUUUUAAAAAAAUAUUAUCACAUUAGAAAAGUACUAUAGUUUUUUUAAAAAAAUUAUUUUUUCAAAAUAAUCUCCUAUCCAAAAAAAAAAAAAAAAAGAUCCGCAAACAAAACACUUAUCAGAUGGAGGGCGUGUUUCUUCAGCGGUUGGAUUCUUGUGAAACUAAACUUUCAUGCUAGUUCAAACAUGCUCAAAGACUUGCUCUUUCUGGGAUUUUGCAUUGAAAUUUCCUUUGUCAGUCCGAAGUACUGUGUUCACUAUGUUGGAACAUUUUUCUUUUUUGGAAAAAAUAAAGAUAGCCAAGAACAUGAUAAACAUGUUGGUGCUUGACAGGCGUCGAGCCUAUACAAUAAUAAAUACCUGGUCAAAUAAAUUAUGAAUUUUGUAUACAGUAGUAAAUAAGGUCAAAUCCACAGAGACCGGAGAAAUUCGUUUCUCCUCUAGUUCAAAGUAGGGGGGAUUUUUAUAAAAAUGAAGAUAACUAAACAGCUCAAAGAAAAAUAAAUAAACAAAUAAAAAAUAAGUGAUAUUUUAUUAAAAUUAAAUCAAUAAUAAACAAGCUCUAACCAAGGACUAACUUUGGAAAUGGUUCAAUCAAUUGAUCAUCAAAAUAAUGAAAAUCUUAUUUAUUCGCUGAUAAAUAAUUUAUAACUACUAAACACACGAUGACAAUCAACUUCUUCUUACUGUAUCGGUGAUCAAGGUAUGACUAUUAAUUACUCCCCUAAUCAAGAAAUAACUCUAGAUACGAUCACAGAGUUCAAUUUUUCAAUUGUCUUAAGAAUUAAAGAAACCCUGUUCAAACCAAAUAACAAGCUAUGAGGGUUAUUUUAAGUUAACUCAUAUGUUUUCCUAACACAAAUUCAAUCAUGCCAGUCACCACUAAUUUAAAUUUUAAAUAAUUAUGGAUUUAACUGCUCUAACUGGUUUUAGGUUAUUAGAUUAAUUAAAUAUCGGGUGCCCUUGAUAUUCAAAUAAAAUAACAACCAUAAAAAAUUAAAUCAGAGAACAUACGAAUAUCAGUAUAUAAAAGAAAUAAAAAUAAUCAAUUCGAUUUUCACAAGUUUAGAUGAUUGUUCCUUGACUAGAAAAAGAAAUUUAGCCGCUCAUCAUGAGGAAUAAUCCAACCAAUUUCGUGGACAAAAGUUGCAUGAACAUUCGACAAUAAGAAAAGCGAAAGAAAAAAGAAAAAGAAAAGACGAAGAGAAAAACUCUUCAUUUAUUUGGUCUUGAUGCCAAAACUAAUCAAUCGUUUGCAAAACUCAAAGACAAAACAAAGUAGUUGCCUUGCGGAAGUACUAAUAGUCAGCCUAUCAGUUGUGAGGCUUGGCAAUUAACAGUGUAAUAUUUAUACUAGAAAAAAAAAAGAAAAGAAAAGGAAAGGAUAAACUCUUGAGAAAAAGGAUACAAUUUAUGUAUGUACAAUUUAUGAAAAAUGCACUUUAGCAAACCAAAUGGUGCUCCAACAAACAAAAAAAGAUCUUUGACAUAUACACUACCAUCACAUAAGUGCGUUUCAGAUAGAUUCUUGCAAAACUGAAAUUCAUGUUUCUAAACACAUGUUAAGAAAAAGGGUAUAAAUUAUUUUUUACGUAAAAUUUGUGAAUAGGGAACUUUAACAAACAAAUGCAUACCCAACUUUUAAGUGCUCUUAACAAACAAGAAAGCGUUUUGGCAUAUACAAUACAACUAUCAGUUGGUGGUGGUGUCUCAGACUCUCAGAUAGAAGAUUCUGUAAAACUCAAAUUCAAGCUUGUUCAGUGCACAUGUUCAGGGAUGCCCUUUGUAAAGCAAGAAUCACGAUUGGGCUCAGAUGGCCACACGAUGGAAAUGGGCAGGGACGGUUGCACCUGAGCGGUUAAUGGCCAGGAUUUGGUCUCAAAAUUUUGUGCAGCUGAGAUUACAAGUUGUAACUCGAUUUUCACGACAUGUGUGGGUUCCACAAAAAUUUGCUCUAAAGUUACGUGAUGUGCAAAAAAAAUUACACGAUAUACAAAGAAAGUUACGCGUAGUUGAUAAUAACGAAAACCGCCUGGGACGGUUGCAGGUGCAACCGUCCGUGCCCCCGAGUCCCUUUUACCCAAUACUUAGGUACGCAGAUGGACAAGUUAGUACGCAGGUCUAUAAAUGAAGUAGUCCUUCAUUUAUUCCUUUUACCUAAUUUUGCAUUAAUUCCAUUUCAAUUCAAUCACAAUAGGAAUCCCAUUGCCAACUACCUCUCUCUUUUCGUGUAGUUGAGAUUAAUUAAAGUCCAAGAUUAGGUAAGAGGAAUAAAUGAAGACUACUUCCCCUCUGUCUGUGAUGCUAUCUAAACCUGUUUGAAGACUUCAAGCACGGCAAACAAUUGAACACGUAUUUCAACAGUGCAACCACUCAACACUGUUGGCUCCAAAUCAGUUUCACUUCGCCGUCCUCGUAGUAUUAUUUUUUUUUUGUUAAUCGUCACUUUAUCUAUAUAAUUCUACUCUAUCAUAACCUAAAGAGGAGGCCCAUCAUUUUAUCUAUAUAAUCCUACUCUAUUCUAACCUAAAAGGGAGGCCCAACUAGGUCUAUAAGAAGCCGAUGGGAACUGAAUUACCAUCGGACCAAACAAAUACACUACACCCAUCUUGAUUUUUUUAAAAAGAAGUCACAUAUUGUGACAAUUGAUGGGAGGCAAGAGUUGGUGGUAGCCACCAACCCAAAGGCUGGUGGUUUCCUCGUAGCAUUACAAGAAAGUAGGAAUUGUUCUAUUCAAAAUUGACAUGUUUAAUUGAGACUAGUAUUUAGGGCACAUGCCAAUGUGUGAGCAACUAAUAGGAAAAUACUAUUAAAAUUUUUUUUGAGCAAAUUAAUAUCAUUUCCAGAAGAAUUUGUUUUAUAUUUUGACAAUAGAUAUUAAAAAAUUCACCAUAACAAAAUGUAUAAAUAGAUAGUUAUUCAGAAAUAGUUCAUAAUUAACCAUAAUUGGUGGUUGAUUAUAUUAGGUUGUUAGUAAAGGUCAUUUAGGAAAAACGUAAAGUGACAAAAUUUUGUUGACACCAAAAUCUCCCUCCACCUUUGUGUAUAGCAUAGAUAUUUCUUUAUAUUACAAAAGUAUAAUUCCUCCGAUAAAUGAUAAUAAUACAAGCCAAGCAAUGUUUUCCUAAUUUAUUUUCUUGGCGACAGAAGAAAUUAAAGUGGGUUUCGGCUGUGUUUUGAGGAAAGGCAGCAGUUAAAAUUGGGAUUUAGGGAAUGCAGGGCUAGUGGUUGAGCGUUUUGAGCAUGUGGGAGAGGCGAGUUGUUGCAGCCUUGUGGGUUGUUAGACAAAUGUGGAGAGACAGAGUUUGGUGCAAUGGUGGAGGCUGAAAUAACGAGGAAGAUGAAGAGAACGCAAAGACUGGAUAUGUUAGUCUUUUAGCUAAGUCACAUAAGUUCGGAUGAGUCUAUCCGACUUAAAAUUGCAAACGAAUCAAAUCGAAUCGAAUUUUGACAUAAUGAGUCGAGCUCGAUUCGAUUUUAUUAAGUUCAAAUUCGAACUUAAACUCAAAGAAUUUUUAAUUGUAAAACUUAAAUUUGAAUUUGAUUUCAAAUUCGAAUCUAGUAGAAUUUUAAAAAAUAAAAAAUAAUUAUUUUUUAAAAAUAUAUAAAAUAGUCAUUUUCUAAUAAAUAAAACAAAUAUUAGAGUCACAUAUAUAAUUUUAUUAUUAAAAUAAAAAUUAGAAAAGAGAGUUGGCUGGCGAGUUUUUCUUUGCUCAUUUCAAGUUCAAUAACUCGAUUUGAUCAAAUCAACUCCCAAGGAUUUGAUUUAUUUGCAAUCCUAACAAGAUAAUUCAGUCGUAUGGAGAAUCAUUUCCCUAUUUAAUUUAUCACUGAACACAACGCGUAGCACAUAGUUUGAGACAACAAUUUUGAAGCCAUUGCAGGGCUCCACGUACGAAAUGUAGCAGCACAGAAGCAAGUUAAAGUCCUCCUCUCCCUCUCCUCAGUCAUCAUCUCCAAACUUCUAUUCUUAUCCACUUCCCUCGACAAGCGUCAAAUCUCCACACCUAAGUUGUCCCUUCAAUCUCCACGUGUAUUCCCACGACAACGUGUCACCCCCUCCCAUUUCCUAUCCUCUCCACGCCCAUGCACAUACUAUAAAACCAUGUGAAGUUGGUCACUUGAGCAUGGUAUGGUCAAGGGAUAUAUGCUCGUUUAGUUAUAGGCAAGGAUUUGGUACAGAAAUAAGCCAUAAUUAAUCUUUGCCACAGAGAGAAAAAUGCAGAAAGCAAAGGAAACAUCAGCCGACGUAGCUGCUUCGGCAAAGUCCGGUAUGGAUAAGACCAAGGCCGCUUUACAAGAAAAGGUAAGUUGUUUUAACUUGUUUAGCACGACCUAGGAGGCUGAAAAGUUCGAUUUUGGUUCAAAACGACUUUGUUUAAACCAAUGAAUUUACCAAUUCAACCCAAGAUUGCUGGUAGAGUGUGUCAGUAUUGAUAUAUUUUUGUUGUUUUUGGGUACGUAUAUAUGCAGGCUGAAAAGAUGACUACUGAUCCAGUGAAAAAGGAGAUGGCUGAGCGGAAGAAGAGGAAAAGUUCUUUGAAGCAGAGUGUGAGAAGGGACGGAUGCGCAAAGCUGCCAGGAGAGGCGACCACAACCCUCCACACGGCGGGUGAUCCGCUCGGCCACGCUGGUUACUCGGCUCAAGGGCCGGUUAGGGAGGAUUAUCCAACUAGCGUGACUAGUGGAGUUGUUGGGUCGCAGUAUCCUGCAGGAGUGAACACGGGGAGUGGAAGGACCGGUGUUUUGAUCCUGACCGGGUGGAUGUGGACAGACCGGGAGUUCAAGACCCGGGGUUGGCGGAGGAGCUAGGACUGGUUAUGGACCUGGUGCUACACAUUAGCUAGUCUGAGUGUUUAUGACGCAUGUUUCAGUUUGAGCCAAUACUUUGUUUAGUAGUACGUUAAGGGGUGAUCCUCUUAUAACUAGGGUUGUAUUAUACAGAAUUAGCCAGGGUUUGGAAUAAGGGAAUAACAUUGGAGGUUCUUUAAAACCUUUAACUUGCACAUGUUGAUAGAUUUAUGGUGUUGUUUCGAGGAAUUCAAAUGUUAAUUUUUUCGAAAGCAAUGAAAUCUAUUUUUAUGUCAGAUCACACAUGACAUGAAUAUUUGGUAUUUUCCCAAGCAGUACGUAGUUUCCGGGCCAGCAAGAAUUUCAGGCCAGAGUAGAACUAUCUUAAUUUCCAACUUCUUCAGACCACAUGAUAAGAUAAAUCCUGAGUUCACCUCUUGAACAAGCAUUUGUCUGCCAUUCAUUCCAUUGUAGUGUUGUGAAGUGCUUAAUUAUUGAACAUGAAAUUUUGGUUAUAAGCACAGUAAUUGGCUCGGAGGUUGAACCGCUCGUCGGUGGACCGCCCCCAGGCCAGCCCGCUUUUUGAAUCUGCUUUGAGCAGUUUACUUGGUCAAAUUCAUUUAACCAACUGGUUUAAUUAUGAGGGAACCCGGCGGUGGUUUGCUUAAACACACUUUUAUCAAGGUUUCAAAUUUGGAUAUCCUUCUCUAAUUUUACCACUAAUUUAGACUUUUACAUGUUGACCAAAUGUUGCUUUAACUAUAUUUAUUUACUUUCUUAUGUAAAAUUAAUCGCUAGAACUUUCAAACUGAGAAGUUCCCAUUCCAUCAUUAUUGCUCGACUUUGAUGCUUACCAACGAGAUGUCUCCAGCAAGUAUUAGCUCAUAGAUAGUAAACACCAAUAUGGAGGGUUUCCACACAUAUAUACAUUUUAAUGGCAUUAAUAUUUUGUUAGCACAAUUGUUGUAUAUAUUCCCAUGCCAUACAAUUCGUUUUUAUAUGUAUUCCGGACACACACACAUACUGCGUGUAUCUUUAUAAUGCAUUCAAUUUAGUUAAUAUUACUUUUUGUCGUGUUGCACGCGCAUCGAUUAAUUAAUACUAUAUUACUUUCUGUCGUGUUGCACACGGGAGAUAUUACUUUCUGUCAUGUUGCACACGCGUCGAUCAAUUAAUUAAUACUAUAUUACUUUCUGUCAUGUUGCACACGCGUCGAUGUGUCUCGAUAACUAGAUAUAAUUUCUAGUUUAAAAUUUUGUUGUAUUAGUAAAUAAAAUAAAUUUGAUUUGUCUUUGCCUACGAGUCUGUAUUCGUAAAGUAUAGUAAAAAAUGAAAUUGAGUGCUCUAUCAAUAUUUAUAUUCUCAUAAUAUAUCUUUUUAAGUACAAUAAUUAAUGUUUAAACACACCUUACAUAUACUAAGAGAUAACAAAUAUAUUAUCAGCAUUUAUAAACAUUAUAUUUUAAUGACUUACUGACUCAACCAUUAAUCCCGCCAGUAUGUUUGUUUGAGUUCUUCCCGGGUCAUGUUUGAUAAGUACGGCAAUAAGUGAUUAUAGUGUGCUUUUUUGGUUCGUUUUCACCCUAAUUAAGAUUUUCCCUGACAUGGUGGGUUCCCUGCCUGCUUCGUUUGUUUAGAACCGGUGGGGUGGGCCGGGGAGGGGACAGUGGGGGAGUCAUAGAAAAAACAACGCUAAAAUUUUGUACGUGCUCUUUUUUUAUUUAAAAUAUUAGGACAUAUUAAUAUUUACGUAACUAGUAGAAUUAAUAUAAAGACAUAAUAUAAAAAGAACAUUAGGACAUACUCGAAGUUUACUCGAAGAGUCGAAGUUAAAGUAUUAUUUUACUUUUUUUAAAAAAAAAUACAAAAUCAUUUACAAUUGCUCACGAUUAGCCUUUCUGUUUUGAUAAAAAUUUAGGGUUAAUUCCACUUUGUCCCCCCAAACUUUGGACGAUUAUCCACUUAAGUCCCUAAACUUCAAAAUUGGACACUUAAGUCCCUAAACUUAUAAAUACCUCCCACCUAAGUCCCUGAACUUAUAAAAUUGGACACUUAAAACCCUAAACCCUUAUAAAAUGGGACACUUCGACUACCAACGGCAUUCAGGAUUUGUUAACAAUUUUCCUUAAGUGGGAGGUAUUUAUAAGUUUAGGGACUUACGUGUCCCAUUUUGAAAUUUAGGGACUUAAGUGGAUAAUCGUCCAAAGUUUGGGGGGACAAAGUGGAAUUAACCCAAAAAUUUAUAACCUUUUCAUCCUCAACUCCUCGAAAUACAUUUUUGUUAAUAUAAAUAAUCAUUUACUCGAAAUUUCUAAAUGAAUGAGUGAUAAACCACACCCAACUUCAAAGAAACUAAAUGCCUAGACUCUAGAGGUUGGAAACUGUUGAGCUAUUUACUACCCAUUUUCUUUAACUUAAAGAUGUGGUCUUAAGUAUAUUUCACUCCUUGAUGAUAGAGCUUAGGGGUGCAUUUGAGUCGAUUCAAGUUCGAAUAGUAUCAUGUUUGAUCUCGAACUCAAUCAUUGCAAUUCUAUUCGAACUCGAGUUUAAGUAAAGAUUCUUAAACUUGAACUCAGCUGAGCAAGUAGUUUACAAACUCGAGCUCAAUUUGAAUAAGCUUGAGAAUCCUUACGAGUCAUGUCAUACGUGAACUCAAUUUUUUUGUGAUAAAUUUCAUAAUUUUCAUACUUAUAAGUAUAAUUUCACAUAUAUAUUUGUUUUCAAUUAAAAAUUUAAUUAUUCAAAUAAGUUUGUCAAAUACUUGAACCUCAUUUUCUAAGGUCUAUACUUGAUUCAAAUUCAAAAACGAACUGCUAAAACUCGAUUCGAAUUCGAUUUUAAUUGAACUCGACCAAGUUACUUGCAAAUAACUCACAAGCACCUUGAAUCUCUAGCACUCAAAUUUGAUUUUGACCGAGCUCGAUCGAGGUGCUCACGAAUAACUCAGGAGCGCCUUGAAUCUCUAGGGUUUCUAGCAACCCUAGGGGAGGCAAACCGUGACUGCAUUUCAAAAUCAAUGGAGCCCUAAAAAAUAAAAAUUAGCAAUGCCAUAAUCCUAUUGCUACGUGGCGUGGCCCUGUCUUCUCGGGGAAAAUUCCCGACAAAGCCUUAUCUUUCUUUACGCGGAUUGGUAAACUGCCCUCGGUGGCCGCUCAGCAGUCCACGUAUAAUAGAGGAUGCCACCUUGUGGACGUGUGUUUGAAACCCCACGAAAACUGGAGUCAAGUGUUCCUCUUGUUUGAGUAACACUUGUCUUUAUCUCCAUACUUUCCACAAUCUAUUUAACCGCUUUCUCGGACCUUGUUCAAGAAUCAAAUCAUCAAUCAAACAGUUACAAAGUUUCUCUUAGAUAACUUCUUGCAAAUUAACACUACCAAGUUAGAUUUCAGAGCAAAAGAGAGAGUGGAAAAUGCAGGCCAUCAAGGAGAAAGCAGCCAAUGUUGCCGCCUCAGCCAAGUCCGGAAUGGAGAAAACCAAGGCCACCAUGCAAGAGAAGUUUAUAUACUGCACUUAUUUAUCCCUUUCCCUAGCAUUAAUUUUCAAUUUUGACAUGCAAUUUACUGAACAAUAUCGCAAUUUUUUUAAGACUUGAAACAUGUCUGGAAAAGUGCACUCCAAAUCCUUAUGCGAACCAUUUUCUUGGCUCCAUGCAUCUACUAGUUCUUGAAUGCCAAUUUUACGCCAAAACUAUUAAGCAUGAUCAUAAAAUCCCUGUGUCACGCCUUUCUCUGCUAAUUUCUGAAACGGGAUGAAGCACAUGUAUUGCAACUAAAUUGUCUGAGCAGGUUGAUCGUGCCGCUGCAAAUAAUCCAACUGAGAAAGAGAUGGCGACAGAGAGGAAGGAACAGAAGGUGAAUCAGGCUGAAUUUGACAAGCGUGCGGCUCAGGAGCAUAACGCUGCGGCUAGGAAUGCAACCAAAAACACUGGCCAGCCGCACACUAUUCCACACGGGUGCACCAGGACAUCCUACCGGGACUCAUCAGCAGUCGGCCUUGCCCGGCCAUGGCACCGGACAGCCCACCGACAAGUUACGAAGGCGUGGUUGAGUCCCACCGCCAUUGGGACGGCCACUGGGACUGGCAGGACUAAUGCUGCCCAUAACACCCAUGUUGGUGCGGCUACUAACAUUGGUGGUUCUUAUACUUAGACUAGAUUAGAUAAUUGGACCUUUUAAAUCUUGCUUUGAAUAAGGACUUGGAACCUUUUAAGUUGGACGGUCCACUUGUUGUAUUCGACUAUUUCUGAUCUUAGGUUACUUAGGAUUUACAGCUUGCUUUUUCGAUAAUGUCAUUCGUAGGUUCACUUCUAGCAUCUAUGUAAAAGUUGUUUAUUACUAUUAGUGACUUUCGUGGAGUGGAAAUUUUUAGUAAUAAGUGAGGAUAUUACAUGUUCGUGGUAAUUCGUUUUCAUCCCAUGUUAAGUUUCUCCUCAACAUGGAUAGAUUUGAGACAUAAGAAUUUCUAUUAGUCCUUUUUUGAUAGAAUAGAGAGUUUCAAUAAAGACUCUUUCAUUUGAUCGAAUGCAUCAUGAAUUCUUCAUCAAUGUCUUUUAGUUACCCCCGCCCAAAAAAAAAAAAAAAAAAAAAACUAUAUCAGCUUUUUGGAUAGUGCCUUAUUUUCAAUAUACGUGACCAACGAGUUAAAGGAGAAAAUUAUCACCGGAAGAAGAUGCCUCACUCCAUGCCUUUUGUGAUCAACUAAUCGAGAUUUACUUCACCGGAAGGAAAUAAAAACAGACCCUCAAGCAUUAAUCAAAAUUAGUUUGCGCACUCCAUCUUCAGCUUGGCAACCCUUUCAGCAUAUCCAGAUGUACUAUAUACCAUGGGGUAAAAUUGUAGGCUAGAAAAAAGAAUUUAUUCUCUUUUCGGGUGAAGAAUAUCACUGGACUCCACGAUCAGCUAAUAUUCACACGUUAACAUAAAUUGGCUCAUAAAUUGACUCAAUUGACAAGGAUUGAUAAUUUCUUUACAAAAAAUCGUGUAUUUGAAUUUCGUUGCAGUUUGUGUUUGUAAGCGAUUUGUAAUAAUUUUUAUAAGUAAUUUAUGAUUUCGAAGGAUCAUGAUGAUGAUCGAAAUCGAAUCCACUCAAAUUAAAAGAAAAAAAAAAGAAAAAAACUAAUAUCCAAAAACACUAGUAAAGGUUAAAAAAUCAAGUUUGGCCAAGAAGGCAGACUGAUGAUCGAAAUCGAAUCCACUCAAAUUAAAAGAAAAAAAAAAGAAAAAAACUAAUAUCCAAAAACACUAGUAAAGGUUAAAAAAUCAAGUUUGGCCAAGAAGGCAGACUGCAAUGACCAUUCGCAUUUGAUUCGGACCCAUGUUUUAUCUGGGAAAAAAAAUUCCGAAAGAUGACUUGUUGUCAACUAUUACUUAUUUAAAACUGCCACCAGAUGUUUUUAAAUUCUGUGUCAGGACCAAAUAAAGUACCACGGGGUCGUUUAGUGUAGCAACCUUUGCGUUUAACCAAUCAGUGAUAAUACGAUGCCGUUCUACUUAAGGAAGGGCGGUGGAUGUAAUGAGCGCUAAAUUCUGUUGGGAUCAAUUGCAUAAAUAGUCCCUCUGCAUUUGUAAUACGGUUAUGAGAAUAAAUGCCAGAAUCAUUUUCUCUUUCCUUUCUGUUAGCUCUCUCUCUCCUUUCCCUCCCUCUCAUCUUUUCUGAUUCUUUCUUGUUCUUCUUUUCUUUCCCGUUCUCUAUACUCAGUUCCAAUUCCAGAAAUUGUCUUGCGACCCUGACAUUUGGUAUCAGAGCGGUCGAUCCUUGGCCGCGAAGAUAUCUAAUAUGGCAGAGAGCACUCGAUUUAGGAGUCUGGAAGAUCAACUCAAGAAACAGGAUAGUAAGCUGCAGGAAUUGAUGGAAUCUGUGGCAACAAUGCAGAAUUCAAGUAUGGAGGAGCUGCAGCAGAAGCUUCAUACCGACAUGGAUCAGAAUAAUGCGAAAUUGGAAGCAAUGGUGGGGAAUCUGGACCAGAAAUUCAUUAAGAUGGAGCAGAGGUUCAGUACGAUGAUGAAGCUGCUGAUGAAGGAGAAAGGCAUUUCUGACGGGGAUGGAGGAGGAACUGAACCAAUCUUACCGACACCUCUCCAUGCAUCUACGGUUGACACCUUCAAACGAAGGCCAGGGAGUCAACCUGAGAUGAGAGGUAGGCAGUUCUUUCCUAAUAUGCUCGUAUGGAGUUGCCAAUGUUUAGCUCUGGGAACCUAGGGAGUGGGUGAGAAAAUGUCAAAAAUACUUCCUGAAUUAUCAGAUAGCAGAAUGUCAGAAAGUAGAUGUGGCAGAAAUGUUUUUGGAAGGGAAGGCUGACAAUUGUUCCAAGGGGUAAAACUUGUGAAACCUGGACUGUCCUGGGGAGAAUUUAGUGAACUCUUGUGUGAGAGAUUUUCUGGAAGAAACUCACGUGACAUAGUGGAGGAGUUUAAUAAGUUACAUCAGAAAGGCACUAUUGAAGAUUAUGAGGAGAAAUUUGAGGAAUUGAAACACUAAUGCUGACCAGAAAUCCUAGAUUGGAUGAGUCUUACUUUGUUUCCAGUUUUAUUAGUGGACUCAAAGACGAGAUUAAGCCUAUGAUGAAGAUGUUCAAACCGGACACUAAUGAAGGUUUUUGAAGUGGCAGAGCUGCAAGAAUGCUCACUGGAAAUCCAGAGCAAACAAAGUAAGGCCACAGGGAGGGGGACAGUAGAACCAAGAUUUGGAAUGUACAAGAAUUCCACACAGGACCAGGCUCGCCACACUCAUACAGGUUACCAGCUAUCAUCCCUGCCCCAAGGAAAACUGAUGCAAUCCAUAGAGACCUCAGUAAGAUAACAGCUGAGGAGAUGCAGUAUAGACGUAAGCAUGGCUUGUGCUACAGAUGUGGGGAAAAAUUUGGAGUAGGACACCAGUGCAAGAAAGGAAAUCUGAAUUGUGUGAACACUGAAGAGGAGGAGGAGGAGGUUGAAUUUGAGGAUGCUGAAGGAGAGCAAGAUGAACUCACUGGAAGGGUGGGGGAAUUAGCAGAAGUAUCCCUCAAUGCAUUGUCUGGAGCCAUAAAAAGGAAGUCUAUCCUGCUGAUGGGAAAUUUAGGGGGAUUUCCAGUCAAGAUCUUGGUGGACACAGGAAGCUCUGACAGUUUUAUCCACCAUAGAGUUGUCAACCUGUUGCAAUUGCCAUACCACUCAAUCAGCCCUUUCACUGUGACCUUAGCAGAUGGGACUGACAUCACUAAUGGUGUCAUUAGUCCCAAUGUAAGCUGGGUGAUACAAGACUAUCGAUUCCAAUUUGAUCUGAAAAUAAUGGAGUUAGGGGGAUGGGAUAUAAUACUAGGAGUGGAUUGGAUGUGCCAAUUCAGUCCCAUUACUUUUGAUUUCCAUUCCCUCAGCAUUGCACUUAGUGAUAAGGAGAGUUUGCUGCACUUGCAAGGGUUGGUGAAUCAGCCUGCAAUGAGGCUAGUGAGGGGCAAGGACCUCAGAACGUUCAUACAGGAGAAGCAAACAAGCUGUGUAGCACUGGAGACAGAAGCAACAAAGGGAUCAGAGGAUCAGCUUCCAGACUCCAUAGGAAGAAUCCUGCAACAGCAUUCGGAGGUGUUUUCCACUCCUAAAGGCUUACCCCCAGAGAGGGAGCUGGAUCAUCAGAUCAACCUCAAACCAGGUGCUGAGCCUUUUAAACUCAAGCCAUACAGGUACCCCCACUCUCACAAAGCAGAAAUUGAAAAACAGGUUGCUGAGAUGCUCACUAAUGGAAUUAUUAUGCACAGCACUAGUCCUUUUGCUUCUCCAGUAUUGUUAGUAAAAAAGAAGGAUAAUUCUUGGAGGCUCUGUAUAGACUAUAGGAAACUGAAUGAAUUAACUGUAAAAGACAAAUUUUCUAUCCCCAAUAUAGAUGAGUUGUUAGAUGAGUUGCAUGGCACGAAAUAUAUGUCUAAACUCGAUCUCAGAGCUGGCUACCAUCAGCUAAGAGUUAAGGCAGUUGACAUUCCCAAAACUGCUUUCCAGACACACCAUGGCCACUUUGAAUUCUUAGUAAUGCCUUUUGGAUUGACAAACGCUCCAGCCACAUUCCAGGCAUUGAUGAACAGGAUUUUUCAGCUAUAUCUGAGGAAGUUCGUUUUAGUAUUCUUCGAUGACAUUCUGGUGUACAGUCCAACCUUGGAGUCGCAUGCACAGCACCUGUAAACUGUACUCACUGUAUUAGCAGAAAAUCAGUUAUACUGCAAAAGGUCAAAGUGUUCGUUUGCUCAAUCUUCAAUUGAAUACCUGGGGCAUAUAAUAUCUGAAGCAGGGGUGAGCAUGGACUCUACCAAGAUAGAAUGCAUCAAGUCAUGGCCUGUUCCUAAAACAGUAAAGGAAUUGAGGGGUUUUCUGGGAUUAACUGGGUACUACAGAAGGUUCAUAAGGGGUAUGGGGUGAUCAGUAAGCCACUGACACUCCUGCUUAAGAAAGAGGGGUUUACAUGGAAUCACAAUGCUCAGUUGGCUUUUGAAGAUUUAAAAAGAGCCAUGACCACAGCUCCAGUGUUGAGUAUGCCAAACUUUGAUCUUCCUUUUGUGAUCGAGACUGAUGCCUGUGGGGUUGGCAUUGGGCAGUACUGAUGCAACAGGGACAUCCCUUGGCUUUCCUUAGCAAAGCUUUAUCAGCUCAGAAUUUAGAGCUGUCAGUCUAUGAGAAUGAGCUUUUUGCAUUAGUAUUGAUUGUGAGCAAAUGGAAGCAUUAUUUAGUUGGCCACCACUUUAUCAUCAAGACUAACCACCAAGCCCUUAAACAUCUGUUAGAGCAAAGACUUACUCAUCCUCUGCAACACAAAUGGCUAACCAAACUACUUGGAUUGGAUUAUGAAAUACAGUACAAGAGAGGCUCAGAAAAUGGGGUAGCUGAUGCCUUGUCCAGAAGGAGAUUGGAGGGAAUUGACACGGGCAGUGAACAAGCUGAGCACCAGGUAUGUGCCAUCUCCACAGUUCAACCUAGGUGGAUGCAGGAGGUGCUAGAAAGUUAUACUGGGGAUACAGUGGUUCAGCAGAAGUUAGCUGAGAUACUACUGGACCCCAAGCAGAUCUAGAUUAUCAGGUGGAAGGAGGGGUACUCAAGUUCAAAGGGAAACUGUAUGUAGGCUCAGCCAAUGACAUCAGGGUCAGGCUCAGCCAAUGACAUCAGGGUCAGGCUGAUCAGGCUCUUGCAUGACUCAGCAAUUGGGGUCACUCAGGACAGAGGGGAUGUCUGCACAGAAUACAGGCUUUGUUCCAUUGGCUUGGGUUAAAAAGGGAUGUUAUCCAAUAUGUCAGAUCCUGUGAUGUUUGCCAGAGGAACAAGCACGAAAAUGUCCCUUAUCCUGGUCUACUGCAGCCUAUUCCAGUGCCUCAACAAGCCUGGUCACACCUUACCAUGGACUUCAUUGAGCAACUACCACUAUCUCAUGGAUUUGAUACCAUACUGGUAGUGGUGGAUCGAUUCACUAAGUUCAGUCACUUUAUCAAACUCACUCAUCCUUAUUCUGCACAGCAGGUGGCUCAGAUUUUUCUGGAUAAUGUAUACAGGCUACAUGGUCUACCAGAAACAAUCAUAUCUGAUAGGGACAGGAUUUUUCUUAGUAACUUCUGGCAGGAAUUAUUUCGUUUAUUGGGAGUGAAUUUGCACUAUAGUUCAGCAUAUCAUCCCCAAUCAGACGGACAAACUGAAAGGGUCAAUCAGUGCUUGGAAAACUACCUCAGAUGUAUGUGCAGUAACCACCCUUCCCACUGGAGCAGCUGGCUACCUACAGCUGAAUUAUGGUACAAUUCUAACUUUCACACCAGCUUGCAGCUAACACCUUUUGAGGCAUUGUAUGGAUAUAAACCUACUCAUAUACCCUUGGGACCCUUCCAUGAUAGCAUCAUACCUGCUGCCAGCAGUAUGGUCCAGUCAAGGCUUCAGGUCAUAUCUCUCAUCAAAGAGAACUUGGCCAAAGCUCAAAAUUGCAUGAAGGUUUUCGCUGACAAACAUCGUUCAGAGAGAGAGUUCCAGGAAGGGGAUUGGGUAUUUCUCAAGUUACAACCUUAUAGGCAACAGUCGGUUGCUAUUCGUAGAAGCUUAAAACUAUCUGCCAAAUAUUUUGGACCCUUCCAGAUUAGUGCAAAGGUGGGAGCAGUAGCCUACAAACUCAAAUUACCCGAGGGGGCCAGGAUUCAUCCAGUAUUUCACGUCUCCUUACUCAAGAAGAAGGUAGGACUUGCACAGAGUGUGGAGUCCAACCUGCCGGAAUUAGAUAUGACAGACCAAUGCCUAUUGAGGCCAGAGAAGGUUCUCUAGAGAAGGGCAAUAAUGAGAGCUGCUAAACCAGUCGUCCAAUACUUGGUAAAAUGGAACAAUUUACCAGAGUCGGAAUCAUCGUGGGAGGAUAGAAGCUUCAUAGAUAGCCAGUUCCCAGACUUCCAAGCUUGAGGACAAGCUUUUUGUUAAGAAGGUGGGACUGUCAGGACCAAAUAAAGUACCACAGGGUCGUUUAGUGUAGCAACCUUUGCGUUUAACCAAUCAGUGAUAAUACGAUGCCAUUCUACUUAAGGAAGGGCGGUGGAUGUAAUGAGCGCUAAAUUCUGUUGGGAUCAAUUGAAUAAAUAGUCCUCUGCAUUUGUAAUACGGUUAUGAGAAUAAAUGCCAGAAUCAUUUUCUCUUUCCUCUCUGUUAGCUCUCUCUCUCUCCCUUUCCCUCCCUCUCAUCUUUUCUGAUUCUUUCUUGUUCUUCUUUUCUUUCCCGUUCUCUAUACUCAGUUCCAAUUCCAGAAAUUGUCUUGCGACCCUGACGUUCUGCUUUACUAAAAGGGUCCCUACCUUUAUAUUAGACUCUAGCUAAUUAGCCACAUCGCGAAAUCAUUGGUCUUGAUCCAAUGAUUAAGGAGAGUCCCUUUAAGAGCUCUCCGGUGCACUAGGUCGGGGAUUAAAAUCCCAUCUAGUGCAUCACACAAUUUCUUGUUCUUAAAAAAUUCAUAGAGUACAACAGUGCACUUAACUAAAUUCACCCUCCAACUUCCAUACAAAUUUUUUUUAGACUAGUCCAAUAAUGUAAGAGUAGGAAUAUGUUAGAUAUUUGUUAUUGCAGGGGGAAAAAAAAAAAACUAGCCACGCAGUAAAGAAAACAGAGAGGAUAGCAGAGAUGAGGGAAGGAGCAAAAAAGGAACGAAAACAAGGCCAACGACAAAUUUCUACAAGCUGGUUACUUAAAUGGGCAACACGCCCAUUUUAGGGGCCGAACCCAUGAAAUCAGGUGUCUGGGCUAACACGUCACGCUCAAAGGCAUGAGCUUUGUAAAAGUGCAACCUCUCAAGCCCAAAUACGACACCACCAAGGGCUAUACACUUCAAGAGACCAUAGGGCGCACUAUCUAAAGUUCACACGCCAAUCGCUAACAAGUCCAAUUGGCUCUCCCUUUCCCAUCGUACAGGAAUAGAAAUAAUGUAAAUUGUUACCGUUAAACAAAAACAAAAAAAAAAAAAGAAAAGAAAAACAGAUAUAGUAAAAUAAUUAGUUGGCGGCCUUCGCUACUUUCAAUAGUAUCUAUCAGAUAUGUAAAACAAUAGUAACUAAAGUAUCGAAAACCAGAUAGCUCAAAUUCCUAGGAGAAAAACUGCUGAGAAAAUUUGUUGUUUAACCCAUAUUGGUUUAGCUCGCAAAACUAGGAAGAUGCUACAUAGGAACAACUCAAACUCAGGAGAAAGGAUAUCAACUAGACUGAAUGAAAAAUUCUCAAACUCCAGAUUUGCGCAACUCAGCUGCUCCAUGUGCAAAAUGACACCUCUCCGCAAAGGUGCAGGAACCUUUCGCAAAAUUCUCACACAGUUUGGUCUUGUAGUUGCUCCCUGGAGGGCAGGGCCUCCAGGAAUCGCAGGUGCCCUUCCUGGGCCACCUACUGGUCCAAGGCUGGCAAUAAGCUCUCUUACCAUUGCACUUGCUUGCUGGAUUUGUUCAAAUGUACCUUCGAGCUCAAUGUUCCUCAGAUUUGGAUUACUCUCGUGCUCUCGAAUAGCUAACUUAACACCUGUCUGACGACAAAUCUGCUUGGAGUUCACCCCACUCUUCCCAAUGAUGGCUCCUGCUAGGGAAGCUUCCACACUAAUUUUGGCUGUCGCUGAAGCACCAAAACUAGCAGCAGGUCCAGGUACAACUGGCUCCAUGCGGCCACCAAAUCGUCCAGGAAUUGCACUCAUUGUGUGAGGUGGUGAUGGCGCAAUAGGCUUGCCAAGCUCCCAAUCACCGUGAGCAAAAUGACACUUAUCACCAAACUUGCAUCCUUCGGCAGUAUUAUAUUUAUUGCAAAUUUUGGUUUUAACUGUUGCUGAAACAGCACCAUUUGGUACAGAUGUCGGCGCUGCUGCACCUCGUGGGCCUGGGGCAGGAGGCAGAUUCAUCAUCUGGGCAACAGCAUUAUAGCCACCAGGUACAUGGUGAAGGAAAUGGCAACUCUCCCCAAAUGGGCAGCCAGCAGUGCUACAAAGAAACACAAUCCAACACUCAGAUCAAACUUUUGCCAAAUCUCACAAGAGUCUAAAUCUGAAAUAUUACCAGAAUAAGUCAGGCAGCAUUUUCCUUGGAAAUAGAUUAUGUUUGAAAAACUAAGAUAUUGUUGAAAGAAAAUUCGAUCUCGUAGUCACCAAGUUGACUUUACAGAGCCAUUUUAUACUUAAACAGGAAUAUAGAUGCUGAAAUGGACACAAUUAAAAGAUGCCAUACAUUUGGUAACCCAGAAAAGUUUAAAAUUGAAAGGGCAGCAAUCCAUAAAGGAAAAAAGACAGAAAGAUGGUAUUCACUUUAUUUACAAUUUGACAUGAAAACCAAGAAUCAUGAUUGACAAACAUAAAAAUAUGUAUAGUUACGUCUUAGUCCUGAGAGUACAGAGGUCAAGAAUUCAAAAGAAGUCUUCCCCUGCCACUCGCCCAAAACCCAUCUCACCAUACAAAGAAUGGGGAUGGUCAUAUGGAAAAGAGGAUUGACAAAGUUUGCCAUUCAGGUUGAUUAAAAUCUGUAAAAUUCCCAAUACAGCAGAGAAACAUGAUUAUACUCAAGGCCUAUGAAUUUCUUUAUUUCUAUUAACGCUGAUGUUUGAAAUGAAGCACUAGAGAAGCCUUCAGAGACUUGUUAAUGGUGCUAAAUGUUUGUUAUUGAUGAGUAAAACAUUCCAGAAUCAAGACCACAGGCUAAACAAUAAAAAAAGCCACUACACAAGAUACACUAAAGGCAUCAUCAUCAAUAUCCAAGUUUUUCUGUUUCACGUGAAGCAUUUUCCAUGACUAGUCGCUGCUCGUCAAGACAAUUAAAUGGCGGACAAGAACCGAGAGUAAUUAAUUAGGCCUCACUUUCAGACAAAAAUUUGAAAUAUUUUACAUCUCUACACAAGUGAAAUGAUUGUUCUGCAAAAAUGUGUCUGCAACAUUCAAUGUUAAUAUCAACUAACAUUCAAUAAGCAGAAAAAACAUCAUAAACCUUUUCCUUUGACCCGAGAUCUGUACCAGGAAAAACCAGUGUAAAUUUUACUACUUACAAAAACAAUGUUCUGAAAAAAGGUCAAAGGGGAAAAUAGAUAGCCCUGUGUACAAUACUUUACAUUUGUUUCGCAGAUUAAUUUAUGGAAAAUAUCUUCCAAUGGUAUAGAUUCUCAAAUGUAAAUUUAACAUCUAUUUGAGCCCUGAUGACCGUAAGACUGUAUAUGAUACGCCUAGGACCACGUGAUUGCCUACAGGGCUGCUAGCCAAUGGUAAGAUCAUAAUGUGCUUGCAAACUCUCUGUGUUAUGUUUGUUAUAGAACCACCACAAACCCAUACAAAUUGGCAACUUUAACCACAUUUAUAUAAUCAAAAGCAGACUUGUUGAAAACAUACUGUUUCAAAGUUAAAGAAUUAAAAUAUAUCCAAAAGAAAUACUCUAGAUGACUCUAAAAGUCGUUCAAUAUAAACAACUGAUGGCCAACCAAACUUUAAUUUAAUCUCAAAAACUUGUAAAACUCAAGCUAGCAGCUAUCAAACAGGAAUAAAAGGAACAUAAUGUAACAUGUUCAAUGACCCCCAAGCUUUUCAGGAUUUUCAGGCCAUGUGUUUGAAAAGAUGUUGCACACACUGAAGCAACAAAUCCUAUAUCAGGCGGGGGCUGCUUUCAACCACAAACAGUAAAUUGUUUGAUAGUCACAUAAAAAAUAGUACUUAAAUAUAAUAGAACUGUAUAAAGAUUAAUACAAUAUUGCAACGGUUGUGUUCAACUUUAUUUACUGAUCAGAGAGCCAACAACAUUGAAAAUAGCACAUAAAUAUUAUAUAAUUGUAUUGUACCUUCACGAUGCAAGAACCAAAAACAUUGAAACCACUGCUGCUAUUAUGAUCUCCAUUAGGAAGGAUUAUUAGGCCUAGGAAAUAUUCUAGAUAAUAUUAUUUUGCUCGCAUAAGCACUGGUUUUUAUUGUACUUCACCCAAAAACUUUUAUAUAGCGCUGAUUUCAUCUGCCACCUAAUUGCCCACAAAAAUGUUCAACAUCAGCAGGCAAAUGAUUCACCUCACCGUUAAUUGCUAAUACAGCAUCUUCUCCUCUGAAAUUUGAUUGACAGUUUACAAAGAGCCAAAGAGAAUACCAAUACCAAGAUCAAUAAGCCAAUACAUUUUGUACAAAAUUCACCACUCUGCCAGCACAUCUAAUAGUUUUUAAUACUUGCAAUAUCAAGAGUAGGUAUUAAAUUUAUGGCUAUUAACUGUUGACAGAAAAUUUACAAGUUGAAAGUAUUUAUAUUGGGCAAGUAAAGAUUUGAACCUGAAAAACUUCGUGCAAGGCUUCGAUUUGCUUCCUAUACCACUUGAUAAGGAGUCCAUUUCUGUUGCAAACAUUAAUUACUUUUUUCCAGUUAGAAUUUAAUCGAUUCUUGAAAUUGAUUAUGUAUCAUCUAACAAAUAUGAUAUCAGCUUGUUACCAACAAAAAGAAAAGUACAACUAUUACGACCUUCUUACCGGCAACAGAUUGUUAUAAGCUUCUGACCAGCAAAAAUAGUACUCGUAGAGCUAAAAAAAUUUUAUAUACUAUUGCGAGUUCAAGCUAUGUGCAAGCAAAGCUUUUGUACUCUUCAUUUUCAAUAGAUUACACCUACAUUUUUCUUAGUAACGGACUGUUGACAUAUUUGCUAAAAACAACAAGGAUCACUAUUAAAAUCCACCAACUAAAAAGGAAAGACAACAAACUCCUGACAACAGAAAUGUACAACAAUAAAAGUGCUCAGACACAGAUGUGCACAACAGGUCAAUUCUCCAGUCUUUAAAGAUAUAUCCAUAUUUUAACCAAAAGUUCCAACGUGACAAAUUUUACAGUCUCCAUUUUCUUCCCAUUUUACCAAAAAGGACCGUUCUUAUCUUCUGAAACCCAGUGCAGGACAAGUAAUAAGCAAGACACACCAAGGAUCCAACAGGUAAUUUACUCUUGCUUCACAGGACACACACAACACAAGUAUAAUACACCAAAAAAAAAAAAAAAAACACACACACACACACACACACUGGUACAAAAAAAAUUUGUAUAAUUGACAAAAAGGCAAAAAAGAAGAAAGCAACUCGUACUUUGGAGUCUGGAACGAGAAGUUGAGAUCUCGGGGGCAAGAGUAAGGGCAGCCUAUCAUUUUUCUUAAAGGCUUGAGAGCAAAGUGUAAAUUUUACAACGAUAUGAGUGAAAAUUUUAAAGAUUUUAGGAUAUAAAGCAACUUUAAGUGUCCUAAAUCAGGCACAUCUUCAUGAAUCAGCACAAUUCUAACAUAUAUAAGAGCCAAAACCAAAACAAAAACAAACUGAAAAUCCAAUAAAUCAUGAAUGCAAUAUCAACCAAGAAAGCAAUUUUAGUCAUUAAAAGUUAAAAAAAAAAAAAAAGAAGCAAACAGCCAGAUACAAUUCAUAUAAAAGAAAAACAGCAUAAAAGUAAAAAUUGUAGAGAAAUUCAACCUGGCUUAGAUUUCUUGAAGCCGCCAUUGGCGUUGAGAUUGGAGUCUGUCCUGUUUCUCUUCCGAAUAUCCAUAGCUCCCCAAACUCAGAUCCAGAGAGUGUUAAAUCAGCAAAGACAGCAACGAACCUUCAAGUAACUAAAACUCUAACAAAACUCCUAAAAAAAACAAAACAGGAAGAAAAUUGAAGUAAAUCUCCUAAGCUAAGAAGGCAGAGCAGGUAGAAAAAAAAAAAGAAAAAGAAUAAUUGCAAAACCCUAACCCUAACUGUCCAUGGGUUUUUGCAGAGGCUCUACAGGGGAGGGAGAGAGCGCGAGAGAGAGAGAGGAUUUGAGGCGGGGAAAGAAAGAGGGCUGCCUCCUCGGAGAAGUAGUACGCAAAGCAAAAGAAAUAAACGAUUUCCAGAAGAUGAGAUAUUUAAACACUAGUACCAGUAGUCCUUCUCUUAUACAGUAAUUAUUAUUAGGAAAAGACGCUAGUACUGCUGUACUAGUGGCGCUGCUCUCAUGUACCAUGGAUUGGUUAUUAUUAGGAAAUUAAGUGAGUUAACAAUCAUCACGUCUACUUAAAUGCACUUGAUAUUAAGUGAGUAAACGCUGGUACUAGGAGCCGAGUGAGUUUGUUUGGAUAGAGUAUUAUUUGAAAUAGGAAAAAUUUUUUAAAAUAUUUUUCAUAUUUUGUAAAAUAAUUUUUUUAGUCUCUCAUUUUUAAAAGUAUAUUUUUACCUCUCUUAUAAAUUCAUAUUGGUCAAAUUUGAUCCUUAUCUAGAUUUUUGACUAGUUUUUUAUCGGAAUCCAUUGCACGUGAUCAUUUUUUAAGGAUAAAAUUAUCAAGUUAAAGUUUACAUAAUCCGAUCCAUAGUCCCUCAUGUUUCACAAAAUGAAUUAUUUUGUCCCUCGCAUUUCACAAAAUGAAUUUAUUUAUCUUUCAUAUUUUACAAAAUAAAUUUUUUCAUCCCCCAUUGAUCAUGCGUACAAAUAACUUUUUUUAAAAUUCAUAUAUAUAUAUCAAUUUAAUUUUACUUGAAUAACAUGUAAUAUAUCUUUAUUUGAUUUCGCCUAAACGUACUGUUUAAGUGAAAUUAAAUAUAUAUAUAUAUACCAAGGUUUAAAAAUUUAUUAGUUUUUCACUCAUGUUCAUUGUCUUUUACUCGAAAAUUGAAAAUAAAUAAGACAUUUAAUUCUAAACAUUAUCAAGUAUUUAUAUCAAAUUAAAUUUGGACAGAAAAAAUAAACAAAGGAAAAGUAUAACAAAAAAAGUAAGUGAUUAACACUUUCAAAUUUUAAGACAAAUCAUAAGGUGAGAAAUUCAACUGUUGGUCUUAAAGGUGAUUGAAAAAUGUGUCGAUGAUGCAAGCAAGUUAGUGUGUGUAGAUGAGAUGGAAAUAACGUGUAAUCCAAACACAACCUUAAAGAUGCUUGUUGUUUUCCUUUUCCAUCAAUUUUAAAUUAUAGUUCACUUUCUAAUUGAAGGAUAUAAUUAACUUUUAUUAUUAGGAAAUUAAGUGAAUUGACAAUCAUUAUGACCUACUAAAUGCACUACUCCCUUAAUUUCAUUUUGAUGGCCUUGUUUUAUUUUGGACACUUCAGUAAUUUUUUGGUUUGAAGGGUAAUUUUUUACUUUUUGUUAUUAUUUGGUUUGAUUAGGAUAAACAAAUGUUAGUAAACUAACAAGAAGUGGUAAUUUGUUAUAUUUAUUCAUAGUCAAAGGAAAGCGAUUGUUAUUUUUUGAACUUUAGGGGGUCUUCUUGUAGUUUGAUCAAAGCAAGAGAGAGAUAGAUGUAAUUAACCGUUUUUAAAAUACUAAAAUAGGAUGGAUAUAUGACUAGGCAAAGUGUUUAAAUUUUCGACACUCUCCACUAGUACUGAUUUACCGGAUUACGCAAAAGUAUCUAAUCAUUAUUCUAUGUAUGUUUAGUUUUAAAAAAGACACUUAUAUGUGUCAAAUGGGUGUGACAAGUUCUAAGUUUAUAGCUAUUUUAAACCAAAAAAAAAAAAAGUAUGACAUUUGAUAUAUGUUUAAUUAACUUUUACAUAAACUGAAGUAGUGUGUUCAAAUAUGAUAUUGGUAACGUGCUAUCCUUAACCAAAUGAUCCUUGAGCUGCUGUUAAACCAAGCUCAAAUUACUUGGUUAGCUUAACUAUCCAGCGUAUUUACAUUCAUCAAACAAAACUUUAAAUCCAAAUUUAUAGGCAAGAAAUGAAAAAGGUGAGCUUAAAAUUCGUGUAGUUCUUUAAGUUGUUGACCAGAAACUCCAAGCAACUCUACCGUACAUCUAACUUAGUGGCUCAAUUGGACUGUCUUCAAAAUUGUAAACUAGUCCGCUUAUACGGUUGGUUUUCGGCUUUGUCGUUCAUUCGCAUUUGCUGAGUGCAAGAAAAUGUAGCUAACCUACAUGAGACUGUUGUUGAUGCUGCGUUCAGGGCCUACUAGCUUGGAAGAUUCGGGCUCUUAAUUUCGUUGUAUCUUUGACCCUUUGUUUUUUUUUUUCAAUUAUUUUACAGGGAUUAAAAUCCAUUUGGAUUCAAACAGAUAAAUAAUCCCGGGAUUACAAUUUACUAGGAGAAACACCUCUCGAGAGUCUAUCAAAUGAUCCAAUAUGUAAGUGAAGAACUCAAUUCUGACUCGAAAACUUAGCCCAUUAGGUUUUAGAUCCUUACUUACAUAUUAAUUACUCUUUUUGCAUCUCUCAAACUAACGUGCUACAUAAUUUUUUACUCAUGAAUUUAAUAACCUCGUUUUUUAUGAGAGAUCCUCACAUUGAAACCCAAGUUAAUAAGAGCUCUUUUUUUAAUCUACUUUAAUAUUCAAUGCAAACCCACCUUAACAUCUAAGACCACAUAUUCUAUUGAUUAUAAACCUACUCUUCUUCAACAUUUAAACUUCUAAUUAUGGACCCACUCUUUUUCAAUAUCUAAACUAGAUUUUUGACCCUAUCAACCCUUGGUUGGUCUAAUACUGAUCGGAUUCCAUGUUAAAUUCAUGACACAUCUAACCUAACACAAGCCAAACUCCUUAACAUUUUAGUCAAGCACUUGGCUCUUUGGCCUAUCAUCAACCGAAUUUUCUAUCAAAUCUACGGUGCACCUAGUGUAACACCAGUCAAACUCCUUGACAUUUCAAUCCAUCACUAAGAAGAGAAUUUUAUAGGUCCAACUUUGAUAAUCAUCCACUUAUCACCGAGUAUCUUAGCCUCGCAAGCACAAGUUCUGAUACCACUUGUUAGGAAGAAAACACCUUUGAGAGAGUUUACAAAAGAGUUCAAUAUAUGUAAGUUAGGAAUCUAAUAUUAACCAAAAAGUUUAAACUGUUAAGUUUUGGACCAUAUUUAUAUAUUAAUCUUUCAUUUUUCAUCUUGCAAAAUCCAUCAUUAUUUAUAUAUUAAUCACUCUUUCUCCAUCUUCGAACUAAUAUAGGACGUAAUUCUUUACUCAUAAAUCUAACACAACUCUUCAUGUAAAAUGGAGAAGCAAAAAAUCUAGGCAUGUAGCCGAAUCGAACAGGUCGAAUGCGAGUUACUGAGUGCUACUCAAAGACUUCCAAGUACUGAAUGACAAUAUAGAGAGAGUUAGGAUCUAGUUAUUCCAGAAUAGUUCUAAUGCUUAAAUUAGUACAAAUCAUUCGUAACCUAGAGUGAGAGUGUGUGGAGUUGUUGAUUACAUUGAAUGAGUGAAGUGUGGACUGGAGGUAUCCAUAGAUUUUAGAGAAGGAAAUAGUGACUAGCACCCUUCGAUGAUUGUAACAGCGCUGUGAGAGUGCAAUUAGCGCCUUGCGGACACCGCAUAAAACAUUGCUAUCGCUAUAUUAGAAGAAGCAUCACUUCUUCACAUAAAUUAUUGACUUUAGAUUCUUCCAUGAAUUGCAAGACUUGUGAAUAAGUUCGUAAGGAGGAUCCUAAUAUUUUUUGUUCUUCACAAUGACAAGUUAUAUCACGUGCAAAGUAAGUGUGUGAUUAAUAAAAGAAAGAAAAGAAAAUGAAAAAUAAGAGAGAGGGGGAAAAACUCGUAAUCCGACUCGUUCCGUAGUCUGAUUUUUACCAGUAAAUCUAUAAUUGAUCCCCGUAUACUACUUCGUUGCGUAUCAUUGGAGCAAGGUUCUACAUGACUCUGUGAUCAAAUCCUGUAACUAUUUCAUUGUGUAUCACUGGGGCAAGACUCUAUAUGGUUUUAAGAUAUAAGUCUGGUCGAAAGGUUGGAAUACUGUUAUGUGGAAAAAAAAAAGAAAAGAAAAGAAAAGAAAAGAGAGGGGGCAAAAAAAGGGACGAAACAGUCAAUUCAUAACAGCGCAGCCAGAACUCUCAGUCUCCUUUUCGGCACUUUCAAAGCUUCGCCAAAACAACGGUUAAACCAACCUCAGCUCAGCAGCCUCAUUAGUCAUUGCUACAAUUUACGCACUACACUGCCAUUGCCAAACUUCGAUUUCAUCGAAAGCCCCAGCAAUAAAUACGGCGCUGCCCCAUUCACGUUUCUUUGGCACUCUCCUUCUCACAAUCACUCACGCUUUCUUCGUUUUUAUCGUCUGCCUCCUUCCUCAAGGUGAGUUUCUCUCUGAUCCCUUCUUCCACAAUGCUGCGUUCACGUAAUGUUGAUCCGAAUGGGGUUUCCUUUAGGCUUUUUCCUGAAAAGGGUUGUUUUUGGAUAGAUUUUUUUUAUGGUUCUUGCUAAGAUCUUUCAAGGGAUUAUGUAAUUGCGUGCUGAUUUCAGGUUCAUUUAUUGGUUUUUUCUUUUUUUUUUCCCUUUUUUGUAUAUUUGUGCUUGAUUUAAUGCUCACAUUGUCUUGCUGGUUCCAUAAAAGAUAAUUUCUUGAUUUGAAGAUUUUUUAGUAUUUCUGUUUCCGAGAUUUGGUCUCGCAGGGUGAUAUGUCAUAUGAACUUGGGAGCUAGAAUCGUGAAGAAAUGAGGUGUUGGAAUGAUUUAUUUUUGCUUUUCCAGAGGAUAUUUUUUUUCCUCUUUUCUCUUUGCGGAGAAAAAGAAAACUUUGGUUGGGAGUGUUUGAAUAUUUGAGUCAUAGGUUUGUUUGACCGACCUUUUUAUGUGCAAGGAGGGAUUAGUAAAGGUCAGAAUUGAACAUGAAAAUUCACUUGCAAGUUGAAGAUAGUGGAACUUUGGUAGUAAUUGAAAUUUAAUUGUAUCUUUGACACUUUUCCCUUCUUUUUUUUUUUGGACUAAGAAUUUGUCUAGAGAACUUAAGUGAUUCUGUUCUGAAAUAAGAUAGUUCGUAUUAAAGGUUGUUCCUUUCGUCAUCUGCUGGAUUAAGAUUUGAAAGCAGAAAUGACAAAUGUGAAACAGAGUAAAAGUGUGAGACAAGGGUGAUUUAUGUAAUGCCUAGGAAAAGAUGGAUAGACUCAGAGCACCAUGCUCGACUAUAGACUCAUAGAACUGUGCUCGACUAGAGUAACUGCAUUUUCUUUGCCUUCAGGCAUUUUUUUUUUUGGGGGGGGGGGGUGUAUUUGAUUGCUCCCUCUCUAUGCUGUCUAAGACAUGAAUUUUCAAAAGAAAAGAUGCUUUGUUUGUUCAUAACUAGAACUGGAUAAUCUACAUGUACACUUUGGUGGCUGAAGGAAACUUCUAGUUUUCUGAUUUUAGUGUCUCUUGCAGAAUCUCGAGUUUGGUAAAUCAGUCUAAGGGGAAUGGCUGCAAAUACAACUGCUGGCUCUCAAAUUGCAGUUCCAAAGCCCUGCAUUUCUGCAUCUCAAAGAAUUUUGAAGUCAAGCAUUGCAAAUUUUGGUAAUGAAACUAAAGGUGAGUCUUGGACAAAGCUCAAGUGCACAUCUCACAUCUCAUCAACAUGGUCUUUCUACCAAAAGCUUAAUUCCAGUCCCUGAAAUAUCAGAGAGUUGUUACAAAAGCAAUGUCUGCAACAAGUGAUAAAGAGCCUCUACCAGGGUGUCAAUUGACUUGAGAGGUUGGACAUUUACAUGUUUCUCUAUCAUCAGCUUCCUUUUUUUUGGUAAAAGUAAAACCUAAUUUUAUCUGUGAAGCUUUCCUGUGUAGGUAAUUAUGGCCACAUGCAAGUAUUAGUCUGCAAUAUUCACAUUGCAUUUCUUAUUUUCUGUGUAGUUUACUUUCCUACCCAUGUUCAGGUGCUUGUUCAUCUGACUAACUAGUGCUGCUGCAUAGUUGACAUCAUUAUGUUUUCUGAAAUGGAAAUUUCCUGACAAAGUUUAGUCUUAGAAUUAGCUAUGUGUCAUGGUUUAUAUUUAUUUAUGAUCUGAGUAUGCCGCCACCCAAGGCUUGUAAAUCAGCAGAUGCUUACCUUCUAUCAGAGAGAUUGCAUAUUUCCAGCUCAAAAUGUUAAUCUUCGUGUUAAAAUUAUAGGGACCUACAGGUGGGAUGUGAAGUAGAUACAAAUGCAAAUGUCAGGAACAUUAAAUAGGUUAUUAGGUUGCUUCAUGAUAAUAAUAGUCUUUGAAGGUAGUUUUCAAUUAACAAAAAAUAAAAAACUAUAUUUUCGGUUGAAGAUUCCAGUAAAAUCUGGAAAACUGCAUUGCAAGCAUUGACCUGCGACAUAUUUUCCUGAGGUUUGGAUUGUACAAUUAAAGCCUGUCUAAGGUAUCAGGAAAUGGUGACAUGGCAUCUUCAAGCAACAGAGAUGCGUGUUACAAGUUGUAAUUUGUCCCUAAAUAGCCAUACAUUAUCAGGGACCAUCACACAUAUAAACACCAUUACCUGCAGGAAAGAGAGCAUUCAUAGCUGGUGUAGCUGAUGACAAUGGAUAUGGAUGGGCAAUAGCAAAAUCUCUUGCAGCUGCUGGUGCUGAAAUCCUCGUCGGAACAUGGGUGCCUGUACGUAUUAUUUGUCUUUGUUGUUAAUUAAUGAUUGCAAGAGUCUUCAGGUUUUAAAAAUUCUUUCUUUCUCUGGCAUUUCUAGGCACUGAAUAUUUUUGAGACAAGUUUGCGUCGUGGGAAAUUUGACGAAUCUCGUGUGUAAGCAUUGCAGAUUUUAUACUUUCCAGUUUGUCUAUUUAAUUCCCUUCUAACUAUGAUUCUUCUUUUCAGGCUGCCAGAUGGUUCUCUGAUGGAAAUCACGAAAGUUUACCCACUUGAUGCUGUUUAUGAUAGUCCUGAGGAUGUCCCUGAAGAUGUAAGCACAUCUUUUCUAGUAAAAUGUCUUUCAGCACAGACUCUGCAAUUGAAGUAAACUCAUAGGUGAAACUUAUGUUGGAUUAUGCAGGUAAAAUCAAACAAACGCUAUGCUGGCUGUACAAACUGGACAGUCAAGGUAUGAACUUCAAAUCUUCUAAAAACUUGCUCAUGCUUGUGGUUAUUUGUUCAUUUCUAAUUACUUCAUGCUCUUAGAUAGUUCUGGAUAAUUGCAAUCUAAAACUUUUCCUAAAUUAAAUCUAAUGAGAGGUCAAAGGAAAACCAAUUGGUUUAUUCAUAGGAAAGGGAAAAUCAAUUGGCGAGUCUUAGGACCCAAGACCACCAGCACAUGAUCGUCCACUUUGAAUGUAAGUGCAAUAUGUAAAUUAUGAUCAGAGACCUCCAGGACAACAAAAUCAUGUAUUCUUGUGACUCUUCCAUGAGGCAUGAUAGACAUUCUUUAGCUUUCCGAAUUGUGUGCUAUCAAGCAGUAACAUUCUGUUGAUGAUGAAUUCAUAUUGAAUAAUGUUAUUACUGAACCUGCUAGAUUUGAAAUGGUUCAAGUUGUCAAAAUAGUAUCAAACUAAGUUGCUAACUGAACCUCAUCAUGGUAAAGUGUAUGGUAGGUUGUUAGAAACUUAAUCCUUUAUUCAUUCACUUGAUCAAUAGGUUCUCAAGAUCUGUGUUCAUUUACCUUAGAGAUAUUGUUACUUCCUAUCUAAUUUUUUGGGCAAAGCAAGACUCAAGGUCCCUGUUAUAGUACCAAGUGCAUUAUGACCAAUUGUGCUUGAUGACUCAACAUGGUUAUCCUGUAAACUGUAUGCUGGAGGGCAGCAUGCUGAACGAGCUUACUCUAAAUUAUCUUGUAGGAAGUUGCUGAGUGUGUGAAACAUGACUUUGGAACGAUAGACAUCCUUGUACAUUCACUUGCUAAUGGUCCGAGGUGCUUUUUCGUCUCUUAUUCUCAUUUUUGCUUAGCAAUUGCUGGUGUUUCAGCCUUCCAGGAUGUGAUUUCAUUGAACUCAUAACACAGGUUAGCAAGCCCCUCCUGGAGACAUCAAGAAAUGGGUAUCUUGCUGCCAUAUCGGCAUCAAGUUAUUCCUUUGUAUCUUUACUUAAGCAUUUUGUGCCCAUAAUGAAUCCAGGUAUUCUUUCCCUCACCUCUCUUUUGUUUUCUGCAUUUCAGUGAGACAAAAGUUUCUGUUUUCAUAUGCUGCACUGGCAAGCUGUGUUUUAUGCUAAACGUAUGGUCCUAUCUUCAAAUUGCAGGUGGUGCUACAAUUUCUCUAACAUACAUUGCUUCUGAACGCAUAAUACCAGGGUAUGGAGGUGGUGCAUUAGGUUAUUCUAAGUUGUACCUCUAUCUCUUCUGAAAGCAUAAUAUUGAUUUUUCUUAAACUUAGGUAUGGAGGAGGUAUGAGUUCAGCCAAGGCUGCUCUGGAAAGUGAUACAAGGGUGAGCUUUCUGAUGUACAUGACGAUGCUUAAGGGAUAAUGUUUAGUUUAGGUUUACCACUUCUGACUUCAAAUUCUUGAUAAAGGUGCUGGCUUUUGAAGCUGGUAGAAAACACAGAGUCAGAGUCAACACAAUAUCUGCAGGUAUUGGCAACUACUACAUGUUAAUGUCUUAUACUAAGAUUAAUGGCAUGAUUGGUACCAUUUUAGGAUCCAAAGUUGCACGGCUGUGCUAGAUGUUAAACUUUAUUUCUUGCUGAUAACAAAUAAUUGUGGUAACUCUUUUCUGGUUACACUUGAGUCUUUUUGUCCAUGUGGGUUGAAAAACGAAUUAAAUGAAAGGAGAAUACAGUUUUGUGGGACAUAACUGAAGCUAUCAACUACCUAAUAGACAUGCCUCCUUCCCCUUGGAAAUAACAAUAUUCUGUAGUGUCAGAUGUGCCUUUACAAGAAAGCAAGACAGUACCUGCUCUGGCUGGAUCAUUUUGCUUUUGACUUUAAACUCUCUGUGUUCUAAUGGGUUUAUGUGGAUGCAUAAUGUGCCAUGUGCAAUUCUGUCUUAUCUGCCUUGUGUCCCUUCUAUUUUCUCCUUAUCCAUGAACAGGCAAUGUUUUAGGGCUGAGCAUGCGUUAUAUGUCAUUUUCCUUCUCUAAUGACUAAUUCAUUCAGCAGAUACUGAUUGAACAAAAUUAUAUUCUCUAAACAAUAUUUGAAACCAGAAAAAUCAAGUAUAACAUCCCGCUGACGUCUAACCUGUAUUGAAACAAUAUGCAGGUCCACUAAGAAGUCGCGCUGCUAAAGCCAUUGGUUUCAUCGAUAUGAUGAUUGAUUAUUCAUUGGAAAAUGCACCCUUGCAAAAGGAAUUAUCUGCUGGUGAGUGAUCCUUUUUCUUUUUUUUUUUUUUUGGAGAAUUUUGGCUGCACUCUGUCCAUAUAUGAUCUUUGGAAGUACUUGAAAGAAAUUUUUGUUGUGCUUUAGAUCAUGAGUAUUUACAGUUCUCACAUAGACGACCAAGGCUGUGUUGUCAUUGGUGCUAUCUGACGUGUCAGUUUCUGGGUCAAGCUCCUAAAGGACAUCCUUGCCCAUGGGCGAGUGCACACACACACAUGCACAAUAAAUGCUUGUAUAUUUCUCGUUUUUGGACAUAUGAUGCAAUCAUGCAGUGUAUUGCCUUAUUGAGUCAUCUGGUGGUGCUUGUCACUUCUGAGUCCUAAUGGUUGGAAUUUGACAUUGAACAGAGGAGGUUGGCAAUGCUGCUGCUUUUCUUGCAUCACCAUUGGCUUCAGCUGUCACUGGUGCUGUAAUUUAUGUUGACAACGGCCUAAAUGCAAUGGGUGUAGGAGUUGAUAGUCCAGUUUUUAAAGAUCUUGACAUCCCAAAAGACAAUAAUAAAAGCUAGAUGAUUUGCUUGCUUUGGCGACUAGUGUCCGGUGAUCAAAUUGAGAAUAAUGGUUCUUUAGUCAAUUGCUAUCAGGAAGACGCCUGCUGGGCUUUCCAUUUUGAUGCGAGGAAAGUGUACUUCGUUUUCAUAGAAACGGGUUUAGCAUUGGAAUUGUGAUGUAUGGCAAUCUUAUAACUUCUUGUGGAGCCUUGUUAUUUCCAACUUGUUUGAAGGUUCUGAAUUGCACUGUUACAACUGCAUCCGUAUCUGCAUGCACAAGAGAUUUGAUACCAGAAAUUAUCAGAUCCAGGCCUAGCUUCGGUCUUGAUAGAUUAAAAGCUGGCUUAAUAUUAAGUAUUGCUAUUCUCCAAUAUUAAGAAAUACAAUCAUUUCAAUUCGACACCUCUCGUCUAAGGCAUCCCAAUGCGCAGCCAAACAUUACCCCAAACACAUAGGUAAUUUCACUGAUCAUCCCAUCACCUCCCACUUCUUCAUUUCUUCCAUAUGCGGAGGUCAGACUCCCUAAAAGUGACAAACUACAAUAUCAUCUCAUGAGCUUGACAUGCAAGGCCAGUACCAGCAACAAAAUCUUGACGCAUACAUGCUUGCCAGCCUUAACCUGAAGAAACUCUAUGCACACAUGAAUACCGCAGAUGUGCAUGUUGGCAUGGGAAUCUUGCUUCAAACUAGUAGUCAAAGGUUUCAUUGCCAACCAAACCAUCCUAUGGGACCCUUGGUCCAGUAGUGAGAAAAGGCAUAAAGGCUACUUGAAAUACUUGCAUGAGAAACCACCUAGCCUUCACAAUUCACAGUUUAGUACCCUAAGGAAUUAGAAUAUAAACUUAUUCUAGCAGGGUUUCGUUCAAAAGUAGAAAGGCAGAAGACGACUAGACAUCAUCGUAUUUACCCAAGGAAAUAAACGAUACACAGCAAAUAUGUACAAAGCAGGGUAAGGAUGACAGAACCAGACAACAAUCUAGUGCAUCCAAACUCCAUAUGCUUCAAUUAGAAAGCUGCCAGCCUAGGUAAAGGGUCUGAACCCAAACUUCCAAAAUUAGCAAAAGAACUGAUAAAUCAACAAUAGAUGCCUCUCACUUUACAUCUUACUACAAAACAAAACCGAAGUUAGUAAGAUGUCUGGUCACUUAAACAAGCUUCCUUUUUCCUUUACGAAUUGCAGCAACCCUUGCUCCUGAAUCAUCACUUUCAGGAGAUCCUUGGACAACUGUCUGUUCCUGUAAAACCAAACCCCGAUUUCUAGAAAAUUUCCUAAUUGGUGUUGUAGAUAAUGCUGCUUGUGUCCCAAGAGAUACUGGAUCCGACUCAGAAUUUCCUGCUACAGCCACAUCCCUAUGUGGCAUUAACACUUCCCCAUCUCCAACACAAGUCAUCAUUAACUGCAAAUUCAGACAACAUGGAACAAGAUGUUCAAUACCAAAAAAUGAAGCCGAGUAACUGAGACAUCAAGUUAUUAUAAAUACUGCAUGAUUUAAUUUGGAGCAAAUUUAAAGCAAAGAAAGACAACUGUGACUCCAUGACUUGCUAGUACAACACCGCCGGAAAUCACUGAAUGGAUUCAAGUAGGAAAUGGCAGCAGUAACCUAAAGUGCUUAUGUCAUCUAAGACAUUGAAUACAGUUAUCCUCCCCUAUAGAGGGAAAAAAUGGUUGCUGUAUCUUAAAAUUCAAUAUUUAAGACAAUUUCAUAGUUCUAAAAAUUGUUAGUGCUGAACAAGACAGUAAAAGACACAAUACAGUUUCCACUCAUUUGGUACUAAUCAUGAAGUAAUCAACAUGCAUAAAGGAAAGCUUAUAACAGAUUCAAUAGGAGAGAAAGCCACGCCAAAAGUAACAUUUCAUAUUCAGAUACCUUCCAAUCCUUAAAAUCAAAUCUGAACACAAAAUGGCUGUAAGAAACCUCCCAGAAUGAACUGCACUAGCAGCAGCAGCAUUCCUUGGUGCUGGAAAGAAUGAGAUCAGAAAUUAGAAAAAGACAAAAAGCACCCCAAAAAAAAUGAUACACAUGUCAUUGUUUAAAGUUGAGAAUCUUACAAACUAGAUGAACUCCUUUCUCAUCCACUGUUAUUUCAGCUCGCCCAUCUUUAACCAGAAAUGACAAAGCAAAUAAAUUUUCAACUGUCUGUGCAAAUGAGCUUUUGUUCAAUAUCAAAUUCUCAAGCCUGACCCUCCUAUUCCUCCUCAAAAUGUCAAACAUUGUUGCCAUAUUCUUGUCUGUGUCUGUUUUCUCUUCAGUAGCAGCACCAUCAAGCUACACAGUGUAUUAGUAUGUUCACUAAAGGGCAUUAUAAACCUACAUUGCCACUUGUAAACUGUAUUGAUGGCAUAGAGUAAAUCAAACCAUAUAAUCAUUCUUCUCCACAAGACCGAGUAUUGGGGAAAUUAUAGAUAAAUGACAGGAAAAUACAUUGUAAAAAUCCAAUUACCAACAAAUUACAGUAGGUUUUGAUUAAAGUUGCUAUUCUUUUUGCUGCUUUCAUAUAACUUGAAUGAGAUCUAGUUAGUGCCACAAUAGAAGCCACUUUCAAAAAUGAGUUUGCAGAAAACUAGCACAAGUAUCUAAAUCUAAUCCAAGGAACCUUACAUCUUCAGGUCGUGCACUUUCUGUAGGCUUUGCACGCUUUCUGUAGAUAACAGCCUUACGUUGCUUAAUUUCAGUAUUCAUAGGCCCAACCCUGUGAAAAUCAUUCAAAAAACACAACUGCAAGUAGUUAAUCCCAACAUAAGAACCAACAUUACAUGUAAAUGAAAGAGAGGGGAUGACGAAGAUACAUACAUAGUGAAGCAACCAGGAGCACUCCUGAAAACAUGAGAGACUGCAAGCCCAAUUUCCUUCAAGCGCAGAGAGCUGCUAGCUACCUCAUUACUAGUACUUGCUCCACCUUGUGUAAAAUCCCUAAGCAGACAACUGACAAAAUCAGAAGGGGUCAGUCCUUCAGUGCUAUGUGCCUUAACAGAGGUAACCAAAGUGUUGGUGAUAUCCAAGAGAGCCUCUGCAUCUGCUACUUGUUCCCUGGGUUUCUGAACUGUAUAGUAAUGGAAGAAAUCAAUUUAGUUUGAGCCAAAGUGUCAACUUAAAAUCAAAAUGAGAUGAAGUGCAUGAAGAAACAUCUGAUUAACACAACAAAGGGUCACGAGAGGAAUAAAGAAGAUUGGACAUGUGGAGAUGAAGAAAAAGAGGUGAAGAAAGCAUUACAAUGUCAAGCAGAAAGCAAGACAAGAAAAAAAUACAAAUGCUGGGAGAGGCUAUGCCACUGGAACAGAUAAGGCAGGGAAGGAAGUGAUCAAGAAUUUAAGGAAGGAAGAACCAGGAAUAGGAAAGAAAACUACACAGAAGGACAGAAAUCCCAGUUCGGUGUCAGUGUUCCAUGUACAAUGUCCAACUGGAGGGGAUAUUUUGCUGACGAAGUACCCAGUUAUAAAUUAAGACCAAACAGAAAGGAAAAGUAUUUAUUUUCAAGGUUAAAGCAGCAACCUUACCAUUAAAGCACGUAUCCUUGAGCAAAAUGGCAAGUGAAAAUAUGCACGCACAACAAACUUGAGGAAAAAGCAAACAAGAAAAGAUUUCAAAUCAUACCUAGCUGAUGUAAGUUGUCAACCUCUUCAAUAAUUGAUUUAAACUUAUCAGAAUCAACCUUGGACAAAUCGUCUCGCUCAUCUGCGGAACACCAAGAACAAUGAAAAUCAAAAUACUACUAAAAAAAAUUCUGCAACUGACUUCUACUUCUAACACACAUCACAACGCACCCCAAAAUUUUUUUUUUUUGCUUACUACAGAAAUGCACAUAAGACUCCCUACAAACACACACAAAACGAAAAUCUUAAGCUGUACAAACAAACAUACAAAAAACCCAGUCAAAAACAAAACUGUGAAAAUGCAGUGUACCAGAAAUUCGAUUCUUGACAUUGAGAUAACGAGAUCGAAGGACUCUCCGUUCCACUACAUCUCCUCCUCCUACUCCGCCUUCUCCUUCGACGCUAUCAUCAUUAUCAGCCCUAGAAUUCUGAUGAUUAUUGUUACCAUUACUUGCAUUCCCCUGUGCUUCAUUCUGACAAUUACUGUUAGCAUUCCUCGUAUUCGCCUGUGCUUCAGCUUCUGCUUGUUGUCGCGUUACAAUCUGAUUCUGGCUGUCUUCUUCUCCUUCUCUGGAACUUGUUCUUCUACUACUACUCCUCCGCGAACUAAUGGGCUCACGUUUUACACCCCGCAUCAUUUCCUAUUCUCUUUUUCUUCCUUUCUCAAGAACAGAAAACUAAGACCCAAUGACUCUCCAAUUUCAUUAUAAAUUCAUAGGAAAACAAAAAAAAAAAGGAAGAAAAUGACAGAAAAGGCCUAAAACCCUAAACCCGGCAUGGAAAUGAUUCUUCUUAGACAGGGUUUUUGGAAGCAAAAAUAAAAAAUAAAAAAUUUAGGGAGUCGGAGAAUGGAAAGUAAAUAACAGCGGAGGAGGAGUACAAGAAAUUACUGUGGAUUGGGGAGUUUUGAGAUAUGGGUGGAGGGAGGAGGGGUGAAAAAGCAAAUUGAAUUGAAGAGGGAAGAUUUGGAGGAGGAGACACAAAAUUCAAACCGCAAAUAUUUUGGAUUUGAGAAUUUGGGGAGCGGGCAGUUCAAUGAGAGGAAAGUGGAGGGGGGCGUGGGAUUGGGUGUGGGAAGGUGUAGUGAGUUAAAAAUGGUUGAAAUGGAAGCUUACUAGAUGUGCUUCGAUUUUUUUUUUUUUUUUUUUUUGCCGUUUCCAAUUUCGAGCUUGGCGGGGAAGAUACUAGUUAGUGACUAGUGAGUUUAUAUAUCGUCACUAUGAAUUUUUAUUCGCAAUUUAAGUGCCAACUCAUAACUACCUUUUAUUUUAAUUAUUUUUUAAAAAUAUGUUGUAUCGAUUGAUUUUAAUAUUUGCCUCACUGUUUGUUUGUAUUUUUUUUGGAUGUUUGAUAGCAUUCUUCCUAUUAUUAUAAAUUUAUAACAUUAUAAAUUUUACAUUUUUCAUGAAUAUAUUUUUCAAUCAUAUUUUUACUUCAUAUAUAUAAAAUCAUUACACUAUAUAUAUAUAUUUUUUACAAAAUCUUCAGAAAAUAGCAAUCAAAAUGGGUUCUAAGUAUGACUAUCUGAUCACAAAUUUAAAACUAAACAAAGAUUGAAAAUACACAAUUUUUACUUUAUCUAACACAACAAGAAGCAUUUGUACAAGCACGCUCCAAAAUAGUACACGAGUUACUAGAAAAAGCGAUUAGAAUAAAUCACAUGCCUACAAUACUUAGGGGGCGUUUGGUUCGCAGCUUGGAAUCGGAUUCGGAUUUGGAAUCGGAUAUCCUGGGUUUGGAAUGAGACCUUUCAUUCCAAUACAUCUGUUUGGUUCAAGUAUCUGAAAUGGGUAUCAUUACUAUACUUGAUGUUUGGUUCGUUGGUUCUUUCGGAAUGGAAUCUAAUAAAUUUCCAAUUUUAACCUUACCUGUAAAAUUGACAAUAAACCUUGUCUUAGAGUUUCAAAAGAAAAAUUACAUAAAUCUUUUUAAUAAUCUUGUCAUAUGUUGGGGAGAGUUAUGCAGGUUUUUGUAUUUUUAAGGGUAAACAACAAAAAAUCCCCCUGUGGUUAAGCAAUCAUACAUAAAAACCCCCUGUGGUUUCAUAUCAUACCAGUCGAUACCCCGUGGUUUGAAUUAACCUGAAAAGUGGACGAAAAUCGUCAAAACAGACGGAGCUGAGUGAAUAGACGAAAAUAAGGGGGAAACCCGCAAGCGGGUUUCAGGCAGGCUAUUUAACAAAUUACUUAAAAAAAAAAAAAAUUUUACAUGCAAGCUGCGUUGAGUUGCACAUGCCCAUCGGAGGGCCCUAGGAUGCCCAGCAAACCUCCCCUCUCAUCCUCACCCUUCAGGUGAGGGUUUGAGAGUAUGUGUUUGAUAUAAAUAGAACAGAAACGCAGCUUUUAGUCAUUUUACAUAAGGGGGAAACCCGCAAGCGGGUUUCAGGCUAUUUAACAAAUUAUAAUAUUCCACGGUCUGCACUUCUAAUCUUGCACCAAUAUGAAGUAGGUGGGUUUCAAGUGAUAACUCUCACAAAAUCAAUGGUUUGAGUAACGCCUAAAUUCCAAUUCGAUUUGCGAGUGGGGAACCUUUGGUGAUAUGAUGCAGAUCCGUACUUCAUCUAUUGAUACAAAUCUGAUGCUUAUUGGUUUUGGAUUCUUUUUGCAUUUUUUGGGUUGCAUUUGAGAUCAGCAUUCAAGAAGAUGAUGGAAUAAACUAUGAUUUUCAUUUUGACCCACAAAGUCAAUAGCGGAAGACAAAACAAAAAAGAGCCAGAACCCACAAAAAGAAGCACUAAAGCUCAAGAAUCAUGAAGAUCUGCUAACUGCUAAUAUCAGAAGAGAAAACAAAAUAAGAAAAGUGUGCAGAUUUGCCGGACCGUACAGAAAGCAUAGUACGUACUGCUCCAAGAGCAAAAAAUCUAAAGAAACUAGAGAUACAAACCUUUUAAGGAGCAAUCUACAAGGGAAAUGGAAGAUUGAGAAUCAGCAGAAGAAGAUCCACUAUUGCACAAAUUAUUCUUGUUUAUGGACUUGGAGAAUAGAGAACUUGGAACAAGAAAACAAACAGAAGAAAACUUGCGUACCUCUCUAGUAGCACAGAUGUGGUUUUCAUUCGUUUUUUUUCUUCUUCCCACGGCAAAAGCUCCAGCUUGUCGUGUUUUUAAGGGGUAAUUAGGGCAGAGAAUUGGGGGGAGAAAGGCGACGGAAAUAAUGAAAAAGAGAGGAAGAAGAGGGACCGGGAAUAAGAUUUGGGUUUUGGACAAAACCCACGAACUUAGUCAGGAAUGGAGAAAUGACAUAUUUUUAGAUAUCAUUCCAAUAUUUCAAUUCCAAUACCAGUAAACCAAACAUGAGUUAUGGGGUUUAUUCCAUAACCCCAUUCCGAUACCCUCUUACCAAACGCCCCCUUAGCCUUGUUUGGAUUGCCAGUUUCUGUCGAAAAAUUACGUCAUUUUCCGUGAUCACAUUUCCCUAUUACCUUUUUCCCUCAUAUACAUCAAAUCGCUACAGUAAUUUUUCCAUGAAAAAUCACGAAAAAUGCAAUCCAAACACAACCUUAUAAUUUAGGAAAGUGAUGAAAGAGCAAUUACAGGAAGUGAAAAAAAAAAUUUUUUUUGAAGUAAAGAUGGAGGAGACAUAUUUGUUGUAACAUAUCUUUGUAUUGUAAAUCAUUAAUAUCUCAAGCACCUAUUUUAGAAGUUUUAGCGAACACAGUAGUGACUUAUGAUGAGUUAUGGCAAUUUCAGGCGGAGUACUAGGAAACACAUCUGGAAAAUUCACUAGAUUGGAUAAAAAAAAGGUUUGAACCAUGAGGCUGCUAGAGAACAUCAGAAUAAUUCAUGUGUCCGCCAAAGAAUAUCUGAAUAAAAUCAUUAUGACAUCACCUUAGUUUCCUUCAGGUUCAAGUAAACCAUUGGAUUCCAGCCCAGUGGCCCCUCGCUGGGUGUAAAACAGGAUCGGAUCCCUCCCUGCACGUCAUGUGCCUUAGUACACAAUUUGACAGUUUCUUGACUGACUUCACUUUUAGAUGGUGCUUUAAUCACACCCGUCCGAUCCAUCCCCCAUCCCCCUAAUAUAGAACCAGUUGUAAUUGUUAUAAUAAAAAAAGGUAGAAGCACGUAUCACAGUUAUGACGGCGAUGUAAAGGCAGACAACAGGUAGCGCACUUCAAAAGCAUUGUGAAAGAAACUCAAAUGAACCUCCCCACCAUGCGUGUAACUGCAUAUGCUGUCUAACAAUCGCAUGCCCUCUCAGGAAGCUGAUAAGAAAAUUAUAUUCAUAUUCACCAAACAUUACAUUAUAGAACUAUAAAAGUAAAAUACUACUAUUAGAUUAUGCUUAUAGCAAGAGUAACAAUAAGUCAAUUUGGCUUUUAUAAGGAACGGGAUCAAACCUCUCAGGAAGCUGAUAUAUUUUCGCCAAUAAGGCUCUGUGCACAUUCCUCUAUUACAUUAAUACAAACCUAAGAUAUUGAAAAGUAACGAGCAUAAUGGAAAGACUUCCCAUCGUUUUUGCCAGCUCUAGAAAGGUGAUCCAUACGGCUUAAGAGAAUCCAGUAAAAGCCCCAAGAGAACAAAUUUUGAACAAGAGACUUUUCUGUUUUCCUGUUUUCCGAGGAGGAAGAAGCGGGAAAGGAUUGUUGCUGUCCGUCGUAUUAAAACUCAGGACCUGGUAAUCCAGCAAAUUUUCACCCGUAUUGGAACCUUAUCAUGCAGCAAAAAGCCAAGCAACUGAAACUCGAGCACUGGUCGGUUCAGCUCCUCAAUAUCUUCACCCAGCAGCAGCAAACCCUAUAACUUAGUGCCAUCUGCAAUUUACAAAUUCCAUUCAUAGUUAAGUUUCAAGAAUCAAGGGUCAAAAGCAAAAUCAGAGUAACAAGGAGAUGAGUGAAGACUUUCAGCCAGGAAACAUUACUCCCCUUCAGGAACAUUACCUGCAGCAGCUCUAUGAACUCGCAUUAGCAGCACAUACCGGACUUGCAUUUGUCUUCAUGCAAACUAUCUAGUAAACUCAGGAAGCACAGCCACAACACACACACACAAACAGAGAGAGAAAGAGAAGCAGGUAAAAAUGGUAUCCUUUUAAUUUCAUUGAUAAGGUUUUCCUCUAUCACUAUUGAAUAGAAUGUGCCAACAUAAACCAAUUCAUGAUUUCCCCCAAAACUGCAAGCACAUAAUUCCCCCACGAAAGAAAAGAAAAUAUCAAUAGCUCAAUGGCCUGUCAGAUCAAUAGUAUAUUACACUCCCCAUGUAGUACUCCGCUUCAUCCAACCACCUAUACCAGAUCAUUGUCCCACAAGUAAACCACAGGUCUGGCUGAAUCUUGCCCUCUUUUUAACAAGCAUCACAACAAUACACCUUGGUCUACCUUGCCCCGAGAGCAUGCAAAUGAUUCUCCAGUCUCAAGUAUUGGAUACUCUCCUUGACUGGGAGUCGGAUCCCGCGAGGCUUUAAUUGCCAAGCUUAAGCCAAGUCUCACUUGGAAAUCUCAGAGCAUUUGCCAGAUUCCAAAUUCAACCUUUAGCCAAUAUCUGUAAAUUCUGGCAAUAUCAAAUAAUCAUCCAACCCAGAAAUGAACCCAGGAACAUAGUCAUGUGCAACCAUAUCUGAGCUGUCAGUUGCCAUUGGAAGUUCAGGAUUGAUGUUAAAGGGAGAACUGACACAAAGGUCAGCCAUUCCAAUUUCAGCGCUGCUGGUUGAUACCACAUCAUCUUUUACACAGAAAUCACUGAGUACUGGAUGGAGUACUGGAUCAGCUGCAAAACUACGGGCAUCACUAGAUUCUGUAGUUGUCUUUCUCAAUUUUGAUCUGGACGACUUAUUUGAAUCAGAAACUAAUAGCUUGUGUUUCCCCAGAGAUUGUACUUUCAUUGGAGUUCGAGACUUUGCAUCCCCAACAGGGAAAGCCAAAGUAGCCCAACCAAAACUAUCUUCAAGACAAGCUCUAGAUGCAGCUCUGUAAAGAUCCAAGAGUUACAUAUUAAGUUCUCAAAAACUAUAUAAUAUAUUGCUUAUAAAUACACUAAAUAGCAAGUGCUUAGUUGUCAAUCAAAGAAAAAGUAAAAAGGGCAGCAACCUUAUUUUCAACUUUGCAUUUUUCUUUAUUUUAGGUGAUUUCAUGAAACACAGGACUGCAUUAAUGAAUAAGAAAUAAACCCAAGGACAAAAUUGACCGAUCAAGAGAUUAAGAGAGUGUUCGAAGACAAGGCUGAGGCCCCAAGAAAGAUUUCAUCCUAACAUCUCAUAUACCAUAAAUAAAAUGGCUUGAAAAUAGCACAAAUAUUGGGGUAAAAAAAAGAGUGAUAGACACUUAAUUUUCCCAAAACUGGCACUUGUCAAUAAUAGGUGCAAGAAAGAAAAAGGAAAGUUCCAGUGAAAUUGUAUGUGGCUCCAGGGUGACAUGCAGUAAACAUAUUUAGUAAAAAACCGAAGAAAAACAUUCCUGCUUUACUCCACAGGGUAGCAAUAGCCAUGUAGAGUUUGUUUGCUUCUAGGCAGUUGGAUGAUGCACUUGCAAAUCAUUGAAUCGAGAAUACAGCACAGCACAUUAACUUAAGUUUUUAUUAUUAAAAGCAAGUAAAUGUCUUGCUGCAAUAAGCAAUACCUGAACCGAUUUUCUGCCAAAUCCUGGAAAGGUUUGAGAUGAUUUUCUUGUCCAAUGGUUUUUGAAGAUGGUGGAGUCUCACGCCCAAGUAUCGAAAGAUUUACAACAGAUGGAAGGUUUAAUGUUGUAUCAUGCUCACCACCCAGUAAUUGUAGCGUAACAUCGAGUCUCUCUGAAACAACAGAAGCUUCAUCCCUCUGCUUGGAGAUAGGAACAUUGUCAUCCUUUUUAGCUGUGUGAUCAUCACAGAGAGCAGCUGCUACUAACUUACCAGAUGCAAAAGAAUUGGUGAAUUUCAUCGACUCCAACGAUUCUCCACUGAAAUCCCUGGAGACGACGUUCAACGGAGAGGUGACUGCCUUUCGAUAAGAAGAGGAGGCAUUUUGAGAAGGUGCAAGGUUGUGUCUGUUAGUCUUAAGAGAUGAAAACCUCCAUACAGAAGAAAGAAGGGCAAAAAAAUGCUUUUGAAUAAGAGGUUCAGCAUCAGAAAACUGAGAAGCAACAUCUAGCAACAUCCUGGUAUGGUCCUGACGCAAAAGGAGGACAGGGAUUAGCUAAAUCUAAACAAAAGCUUCUUCCAUAUUGACAAGGCAGAGUGCAUUGACAAUGCAUUUUACUAAAGAAACUUGAGAUAACAUUUAAACCAAAAAACUGUAGGUAAAAAAUGAGACUACAAAAAAAAGUAAUACCAUCUCCAAUUGAUGAAAGUUGACAAUGUACUAUAAAAUGAAUAAUAGACCAAAAGAAGGCUAGAUUUGCCAUAACCAACAAUACUUUUGAAGCAGCUCAUUCAAAUAAUACACACCAAAAGAAAUACACUCAUUUGCAAAGUUUUCAUGAUGCUAUAAAUUCUUGUACAAUCUCAAGACGCUAUCUCCAUGUAAAAUGAGGCACAGAAAUACCUGGAGAACAAUGCAUUGAACAUAUGUACACAUAAUGAAGGAUAGAAUGAUGCAAGAAUUUAAGGAAAAGCUCGACACUCAGUCUGCAGCAGCAUUGAACCACAUCAUCAAUUUCAAGGUAUUGUACAUCAUUUGAAAAACCUUUAGCUUCAUUAUAUCUCCUUAUUUUACAAAAUAUCAAGGAAUCUCAUCCUAUCAACAAUUCUAAGGUCAUAGCUGGGGUCCCUGAUUCAUGCUCUAAGCAAAGUGCAAACUGCGCUUUAUCAGAAUCCUGAGUUGUAAACAAGUUACCAGUCCAAUUAGAGUCAAGAACAUUAAGAUUAGCACUUCUUAACCAUUGCCACUUCAAAUUUAAGUAGGCACAAUAGCUAAAAUUCAAAACC